UGUGUGUGCCCUUUAAUUUUUAAAGAUUUUUAUCCAGGAUCGGGGUGGGGGUGGGGGUUAAAAAUCUCGUCUUGCGUUUUGGUGCCCCCUUCUUUGUCUGGGAAGCAGAGGGCUGGAAUUCAGUUCGGACGGCCCCUUAAAGACCCAGACAGAGGACGCCUCUGGUUUCAGCAGCUCACUCCGCUGAGUUAUUGAUUGCAGGCAGCAACAAUCCCUCCGGGUGAUUUGUGUGAAAAGUGAAUCCGCGCUGGCUGGGCGUUCACAGGGGCGCAACAGCCGCAACGCCAUCCAAUUAUUGCCGGUCGUCCCCUCCAACACCGCUCUCCACCUAUAUACUCCUUUCUCUGCCCAUCGCCGCUUCCCCCCACCCACUUUUCUCUGGAGCGGACCGACCUACCUACUCCAGCUCAGCCCGUCUCCGCUUCCCCCCACCCACUUUCCUCCGAGCGGACGGAGCCGAGGGGGCGGGGGCUCCCUCCCGGGAGUGUUUCUAGAGCUCCGAGGCAGCUAGUAGGGGUUUCAUUGUCCGCAUGUUUAAAGUCUAAUAGAAAAAAAAAUCUCUGGAUAUGAAGUUGGGAGAUAGAUCCAAGUCUACAUCUACGUCCUCAUGUUGGUGACCUUGGGGCACCACUUUCAGAUAAAAACAUAGACCUGAAUGGCAUCAUCCAGUAUCCAAGGAAACCAUAUGAUCUUUCCUGCCUGGGUUAUAUCUGCAGAGCAGCCGACACUCAUUCUUAUAAAUGUGUUUAUGUUUGAGAUUGGAUGUAGUGGAGGAUGGAAGGAUAUAAAAUGAGAGAAGGCUUGGAAACCAAGAACAUCAUUCAUUCACAAAUACAUUAUGUCCCAGACACUGUUUUGACUCCAGAGUUGGAAUAUGGUGGUCCUUACUGUUCUAGAGCUCAUGGUCAAUGGGGGAUAUGAACGCUAAUCAGUCAGUUGCAAUGCAGUUGUAUUUGUUUUUGUGACAAGAGGAAGAAUAGGAUGGUAAGAAGGUAUAUAGAAGGGAUGCCCGUGGUCAGGGGAGACUUUCUGAAGGAAGUGCUACCUAAUUUGAGGACUUCAAGAGCUCCUCUAGAGAUCACUGGAUAAAGAAUAUGAAGCUGAUAUGAUGGGAACCACUGGAGAUUUUGAGAUGGUCUAUUUAUUGAGAGCAACUUAGAUCCUAAAUUUGUCACCAGCUCUGGAUUUCUCUCCCAAGCCAGGAUUGUGUGAAGUCAUUACAAUUUAAAGCAUACUGUCGGUCGGUCAUUCCCUGGACUCCAACUUCUGUUUCACCCCCAACAUACAGAGUAGAGAAGAAAUGAACUACUACAUGGAGAUUGCUUUCUCCUACUUAUCAAGACAGAGUGGUGUACAUUCACUUCUUUUGGGGGCAUGUGUUCCAAGAAGCAGAUUUCCAUUACAGACUUGAAACUGAGGUGUGUGAGGAGCACACAGAUUUCUUCCUUUGAACUUUGAAGGAGAUAAUUUGCUGUUAACAUAAAAAUAAGACUAUUCACAAAUCAUUAGCUCUGAAGAAAAAUGACAACAACAUCGUGAGGUACUCCGCCUGUUGGACAAAUACAAAAAGAAUCAAUUGUGGCAUACCUCUUGACUAAAGAGCAUCAGUGAAUAACUGCCUGCAGAGCUUGUUAUAUUUCUGAGUUGUAUGUAUGGUUUACAGUUGCGGCCAUGUGGUAAUUGCACCAAGUUGACCAUAUUAAUAGUGAGUUUAUCUACACCAUCUGCUGUUAUAUUGACAUCUACGUUUUUCAACAUAGCACCCUAUUUUUGUUCUGUUAUUUCUUCUUUUCCUUCUUCAUGUCCAGCCAUCCCUACUGAUAUCUGCACCAUUUCAUGUUAUCAAAAAAAGGAGGCUUUCAGUGGAGAAGUGAUGGAUGGCAGGGAUAAGUGACCAAAGAAUUUAGUAGAAAAAAGUUGUAAUUCAUGGCCCCAUACAACUGUAAAAAGGUGAGUCUUCGGGUAAGAAAGUAUAUGGAGUAAGCGUGAAAGAGACAGGAGGGUUUAAAAGAAUCAAAGGAAAUGGCUGACAGGAUAGAGGAGAAUGAGGACCAUACAUGUGUAGGAUAACGGCAGAACAGUUCAGAGAUUAAGACGGCAUUAAUGUGAUCAUCAGAAAGAUACUUCCAAGUUUUGGCAACACACUCCAACAGCAGUAACUCCAAGGAGCCUUCUGAAAUCAGGAGCCAACAGGUGAGGUUUCCUUUAACUUUAUUCUUGAAUUGCAGUCAAGAUUAACUUGUAUAAGCCCCAUUUUCUGAUGUUUUAGUUUGUUUCCAAAGCGCUGUUCCUUCCAGUUCAUUUUUUCACUUAUCCUCACAAGGUAGCUGUGAUAGCUUCUGAGCAAAUCUCCUGGCACCCAACUCUUAGCUAAUUCCAUUAGAAAACACUGACUUUGUGUGUGAAAGGUGAAAAAAAUUCUAUUACAUCGUUGCUAGAUUUUUAGAACUAUAGCUAAAGUUCAGGAAAGGCUUGGGGUUCCAAAGAGUAGAAAGAUAGAGAAAAGAGCAAACGUAUAUAUUCAGUAUAAGCCAACAGAAUUAACCUGGGCAUUAUUUGAGCUUUUGUUCCCUGAAGCCAUGGAUCAAUGGUGCAGAAAUAGACACUCACCUCUGACAAAGAAAAAGCAUGGAUACUGGCAUGGGAGGGCAUGGUUCCUUUUCUUUCAGCCCCAGAUCAAAUUUAAACCUGUGAUUUUGGAGCUUACUCAUCAGAGGAGAAAUAUCAUGAGCUAUUUGCUCUCUCUGCUGUAACACAGCUCUGGCAAGCCUGGAAGUUGUGUUGAGAUCGUCAAAUCUAUAGUCAAGGACCAUCUUUGUGAAUCAUGAAACCAUAUGCCACUGGUUGUCUGAAUUGGAGGAAAAAAACACCCCAAAACAAAAAAACCCAACUCUACACCAACGAAACUAGUGAUGUGCUUAGACAGUGCCAAGGGCCAUUUGACCAUCUUACACCUUCUCAAUCUAUGCAUUUAAAAAAUUUGUUGCUACUGCCUGAACCAUGUAAAAUACCAGAACUCCUGUAGUGCUAACAAGGAAUAAAGAUCUUGCACCAGAUGGUGCCUCUUGUCUCCAUCUAUCUCUAGCCCAAACAAUCUGCCAGAGUUUUGAAGAAAAAUACGAUGUGAUCAUGUUGCAAAGUAUAUGAAGAAACAGUAUGAAAAGUAAUCUGGCUCAAGCAUUGGAAUCCAGAAAGAAGGAGAUUAUUAUGACUGUGAGCCUAUGGAUGAGAGGGUAUUGUUAUCCCUGAAUUUUAGUCCUUAAGACAAAUGGCAUACCUGGGCACAGCUGGAAGGUGAGUAUCUCACCGAGAUGUCUCUUAGCAUCUCUGCAACAUAUUGACAUCAAUGAAUAUAGUCAAAAUUUCAGAAAUUCAUCUGGAUAUUUUUCUUAUAUAACAUAAAAUGAACAGUUUGAUGACUUUUAUAAAAUUGGGUUUAAGGGAUAGUACACAGAAGAACUCCAUUUAACUUUUUUUUUCCUAUAUUUAGCCUUUCAAGUUCUGAAUUUGGUCAUCUUAGUGACAAGAACUUUGGUACAGUUUUUAUGUCCCUUUUGCAAGAUAUUGUUACAAUUUUCUUUCAUAAGCUUGGAUGGGAUUUUUUUGGUCAUUUUUCUGCUUCUCUAUAAGCCCUUUGUGGCCACCAUGUUUUCAAGUAUCCUGCACUUCCAUACUUUGAUCAAGGUAUUGGUACCCCUUUGCCAUAAAAUCCUUGACAAUUUUAUCUAACACUUACAGGAUCCUAACGUGCUUUAUGGUCAGGGGAUAUUUAGUGGGAGAGAAAGAAUCUUUCAGGUAUUUUCUAGAUGCAACUCAUCUGAACAGACGGUUUAGUUUUAGGUUUACUUUUUGUGCUUGGCCUGGAGUAUGUAAAUGGUGAGCCUAGAAAAUAAGGAUGAUAUGAUAGAAUUUAGUUCAUUGCUGCCGUCAGCAUGUGGUCUGCACACUGAUUCUGAUCAGCAAAUGUGUGAAAGGUCUGUGAUGAGGCAAAUACAGAAAUUGAGAGUCAGCAUUUAGAAACUUCUACAGCAAUUUGACAUAGCUGUGGCAUCCAAGCAUGUGAUCACUUUUCCAGAAGUUCAUUUUAUUUUAGUUUACCUAAGUAUCAGUCCAUGAUGGAUUGGAGGAAAUAAAAACCAUGUUCAGUAACCAUGUUCAGACAGUUUAAGAGGCCUCACUCUAGAGUCCAUAACUGCAUCAUGUUAUGUAAGAUGGAUUGAAAUAAAGACAAUGGGUCCAUGCCCAAAGAGGACGUUAUAGCAAUAAUCUAGCUAUGCGUUUACCAUCCGUCAGGAGCUUUAAUGAUAACUGUGAAAGGAAAAGGACACAACAAUCACUCUGGGAAGGAGUGGGAUGUAGUUCUGAAUUGAAUGGGCUGUGCAAUCAGGAAACAUGUGCAUCCCCAAGCCUGGUAAGCAGCAUGGAUGGCAUUGCUACCAGUUCACAUAAGAGAGCCUCAGUGGAUAAAGAACCCUGCAAACACUAGGAAUUCCGGCUUUUUAGUUUUCAGUUGGUGCUGGCAAAACAUCUAUUUAGAAAUUUGCAGUGAGCCAUGAAAGACCGUGGAUCUCAACUGAAGAGUUCAAUAUUAGAAAUUUAGAACAGAUGGGAAAUUCUCCCUGGUAGUUUGACAAAGAGAAAAGAAGUUCCCUCUUCACAUUUUCUACUAUUUGAGAUGAUAUGGUUUGCAGUUUUUCUUUUCCCUUUCAAGGUAGAUGUAGUACGUGGAAGCAAAUGAAGGACACAUACAUGCUCAGAACACUUCUCUCUUUGCAGGGUGUGUUGGCACAUUGCGAGCACUUGAAAAACGCCGGAGCUGGGUUAGCCCAUUGAAAAAGUCACAAAGCCUACUUAAUGAUGAUGUAUCUAAAUGAUAUUUUAAGUAAAGCUUUUGUUUGUUUG